AUGUGUGUUAAGUCGCUUCAAUCGUGUCUGACUAUUUAUAAUACUUUGGACUGUAGCCCACCAGGCUCCUCUGGUCAUGGGAUUUUCCAGGCAAGGAUACUGGAAUGGGUUGCCAUUUCCUCUUCCAGGAGCCCUGGAGGUCCAAAUGGCUUCAUCCAGGUUUGAAAAGUCAUUCAAGAGUGUUCAAAACCAAGAUGGCAGUGAAUGACUUGCAUUCAUGAGAACAGCAUUCAGCGAUUCAUGGUUGCCAAGGUAAGCAGCAAAGGCAUGCCUUCUGUACUCUAUUGCCUUGUAAAGAAACAGUCUCUAAGGUAACAGGCUAGCACCCUUGAGGCCAGAGAUCCCUAGUGUUUUAGACUUGGUGAGGAGGUGAAGGGGGAGAGAAG
rnacentral:lncRNA from 1 species